UACGUAGGGUGCAAGCGUUGUCCGGAAUUAUUGGGCGUAAAGAGCUCGUAGGCGGUCUGUCGCGUCGAAUGUGAAAACCCGGGGCUCAACCCCGGGCCUGCAUUCGAUACGGGCAGACUAGAGUGUGGUAGGGGAGACUGGAAUUCCUGGUGUAGCGGUGAAAUGCGCAGAUAUCAGGAGGAACACCGAUGGCGAAGGCAGGUCUCUGGGCCACUACUGACGCUGAGAAGCGAAAGCAUGGGGAGCGAACAGG
rnacentral:rRNA from 1 species